rnacentral:miRNA from 1 species
CUAAACUUUUUUAUUACAACAUUUAUUCUAAACCAACGUUUCGGGGCAUGCCCCUUCAUCAAGGAUCAUCCUUGAUGAAGGGGCAUGCCCCGAAACGUUGGUUUAGAAUAAACGUUGUAAUAA